rnacentral:rRNA from 1 species
GAUGAACGCUGGCGGCGUGCUUAACACAUGCAAGUCGAGCGAGAAGUUUUGAAAAGAUUCUUCGGAUGAAAUUUAAAAUGGAAAGCGGCGGACGGGUGAGUAACGCGUAGGCAACCUGCCCCAUACAAAGGGAUAGCAUUUGGAAACGAAUAUUAAUACCUUAUGAAACUUAACUAGUGCAUGCUAGGUAGGUCAAAGAUUUAUCGGUAUGGGAUGGGCCUGCGUCUGAUUAGCUAGUUGGUGAGGUAACGGCUCACCAAGGCGACGAUCAGUAGCCGACCUGAGAGGGUGAACGGCCACAUUGGAACUGAGACACGGUCCAAACUCCUACGGGAGGCAGCAGUGGGGAAUAUUGCACAAUGGGGGAAACCCUGAUGCAGCAACGCCGCGUGAACGAUGAAGGCCUUUGGGUCGUAAAGUUCUGUUCU